rnacentral:lncRNA from 1 species
AAAGAAGUAGCCUGAGAGCAACCCUCUCAAGACAUGGGAAACAUAGAUACAAUGCUAACAAAUCCCUUCCCCCGAACAUCCAAGCAUAGAGAUCGUGCCUCGUUAAAACCUUCUCUAGGAAAAACCCAUUUGGGGAAAAAAACUUAGAGAAGGAAAAAGAGUACACUAUCUCUAUGAGAUUUUAAAACCUGAACCAUCUUAAUAUAUCCAUAUGCACUUGAGAUAUUCCAAAGUGGCAACAAAACCCCACAACAAAAUAUAAAGCAUCCCCUUAAAGAACAGCCAAAGUAAUCAGUAGCAUAUGCCUAGCACAUAACAUCCUUCUUGCAAUACUUAUCCAAAAACAGCUUCAACAUGCCAAUAUACGUUGUGGAAGCCCCUCUCACCCUUUGACAAAGUAAGAUCUCAAACACAGACCUGCCACAGUACAACCCUCCCAUCCCUUCCACUCUUUGCCAAGAAAUCUGCUACUUCGUUUGCUUCCCUCAACACAUGAACAAUGCCAACACAAUUAAUCAAGGGCUGAAGUAGAUCAAUUUUGCUCAGGAUCUGAUGCAACUUCCAUGGCCUCCGCGAAUCAUUACUUGCCCAUCCCACCACUGAGGUUGAUUCACUUUCACUUAGAGUUGUGCUAAUUUUUAGGGUUUUCGGGUUUUCAGCCGAUUAUAUUAAGAUAAAAAAAAUUAAAUGAAGGAAAUUCAAUUAUACCAUCCAAACAAAGAAUUUUACAGUUGAGGGAAUUUCACCAUUUUAUCCAAACAAUAAAAUUUGAAACAAUCAAUUGAAUUCCCUUGCAUUUAAAAUCCUUGGAAUUUUCUACAAUCCCUCAUCCAAACACAACCUUACAGUUUUGCACUUUGGACAUUUUCGUUUGUACAUCCCCUUCUCUUUCUUCUUUUUUAUGUUAAGUUAUUAUCUGUUGUUUGUUGUGCCAACAGUAUAACACUAUCUUAUCUCUUAUCAUAUCUUGUCCAUCAUGUGUAAAAGUUAUCCUGAGGGGGAGUUAGGAUAUAACAUGAUAGAAUACCAGUUAUAUAUUUUCUUUUAGUAUCCUAACUCGAAAUUAAUUUAUUUUAAUAUUAUAUAAUUUAUAAUAAUAUUAAUUAAUAAAUAAAAAAUAUUGAUUUACCAAAAUAAAUAAAAUUACUAUUCAUAAAUAGUAAAAUAGACUACUCACUUACAAAUAUUGAUUUAUUAAUAGUAAUAGACUAAUUUAAUAUUUUCAUCUUCUAUUAUUUAAAAUAAAUUUAUCUACUUAUAUAAUAAUUUAAAUAUAAAUUACUUUUUUUUUUUACAACAUAUGAUAUUUAUUGAUUGAAAGAAGUAGCCUGAGAGCAACCCUCUCAAGACAUGGGAAACAUAGAUACAAUGCUAACAAAUCCCUUCCCCCGAACAUCCAAGCAUAGAGAUCGUGCCUCGUUAAAACCUUCUCUAGGAAAAACCCAUUUGGGGAAAAAAACUUAGAGAAGGAAAAAGAGUACACUAUCUCUAUGAGAUUUUAAAACCUGAACCAUCUUAAUAUAUCCAUAUGCACUUGAGAUAUUCCAAAGUGGCAACAAAACCCCACAACAAAAUAUAAAGCAUCCCCUUAAAGAACAGCCAAAGUAAUCAGUAGCAUAUGCCUAGCACAUAACAUCCUUCUUGCAAUACUUAUCCAAAAACAGCUUCAACAUGCCAAUAUACGUUGUGGAAGCCCCUCUCACCCUUUGACAA